rnacentral:lncRNA from 1 species
CAUGGUCUGUGGGUCGGAUGUCUGGCGGUCACACCCGCCGGGAAGAUCUUCUGGCGGAAACAGAAUCUGCUCCUUUCGGGAAAGGCUGAUUGCGCGGUUACGUGCAGCGUGUGUUGAGGAGUGGCUCUGGAAACUUAAAGAGCCCGACGAUCAAGUGAUCUUGCCAACUACCGUUUUAAUCAGCAUGUUUUAUUUUGUUGUGGUACAGGCUCAGGCAUGCUAUUUCAAGCUUGUCAUCAUAUUCAUGGAGGCAGAGACAGGAGAAUUGCUAUUAGGUCCAUGCCAGCCUGGCCUACACAAGCCCAAUGCAAGCCCUGGCAGAUGUCUUCAACACCAGAGUGACACUCAGCCUGAAGGCCAGGAUUGAAGACUGGAAGUACAGGGGCAAGAAAUACCUUUGAAAAUACUCCAGUGUCCAAACUGCUCACUGGUGUUGCUGCCUUUUGAGCCAGGGCACGAGGCUUUGUUGAGGUCACUACUUUUCAUUCCCUCCAAGAUGGACAAGAUGUUUGUUUUGUGCACAGUAAGUGGAACACAGGGCCUCCGGCAUGGUGCUUGUAUGUUCCCUUCAGAAACUAAGGAAUGGAGCAGUGUCUUGAACGUGCUACACAAGCCCCCUAACAGCCAAGCGAAUCCAGCAGCUCUACAGACAUCCUUUCACUGAGCAGUUAUUUCUCCUCCGAUGUUCUGAUCGCUGUGGGCAGCCUCCAAACACUUUUUGAAAAAGCUGGAGAGAAAGGCGAGCUUGAAAAGGGGAAUGCAGGAUAGAGGCAAAGGGAGAGAAGCAGGCAAGCGACUCCACAAUGAUACUCAUUCCUUUAUUGUCAACUGUGUUCAUCUCAACAGGGCUGGGGCCUGCAGGCUGCUGGCAGCACCAAGUUAAGGUGCAUUUCCACUCAACAGAAAGGCCUCCAUCCUAAACCAAGGGGGCAGAGGUUAAUGCUUUAUAUAUAUUUAUAUAUUUAUAUAUUACAUAUGUCCUAGAUAUACAUAUGUCCCAUAUGUAUAGAGUGACAAGAAUGGGCCACUUUGUGUAACUUUAAUUAAAGGCCAUAGCAACAGACAUAGAAAUUUGAUCCUAA